UGAUGGCAAUGAUGAUUUUCAUGAUGUUGCUCUCCUGAUGUACAAACAUGAGGUUGCACAGUCACUACCUCUUCUGAAGCCAUCU
rnacentral:snoRNA from 1 species